AUGCCUACGGGGCGCAGCAGUGAGGAAUAUUGGUCAAUGGGAGAGAUCCUGAACCAGCCAAGCCGCGUGAGGGAAGACGGCCCUAUGGGUUGUAAACCUCUUUUGUCGGAGAACAAAACCCGGGACGUGUCCCGGACUGCGUGUAUCCGAAGAAAAAGCCACGGCUAACUACGUGCCAGCAGCCGCGGUAAUACGUAGGUGGCAAGCGUUAUCCGGAGUUAUUGGGCGUAAAGAGCGCGCAGGUGGUUAAUUAAGUCUGAUGUGAAAGCCCACGGCUUAACCGUGGAGGGUCAUUGGAAACUGGU
rnacentral:rRNA from 1 species